rnacentral:rRNA from 1 species
AGCUCCAAUAGCGUAUAUUAAUAUUGCUGCAGUUAAAAAGCUCGUAGUUGGAUCUUGGGUCCAGGCUUGUGGUUCCGCCCGUCCUGCGGUUACUGCUCGUCCUGACCUACCAGCCGGCCGAUCCAUGGUGCCCUUUACUGGGUGUCUUGGGCGGGCCGGAACGUUUACUUUGAAAAAAUUAGAGUGUUCAAAGCAGGCGGCUCGCCUGAAUAAUGGUGCAUGGAAUAAUAGAAGAGGACCUUGGUUCUAUUUUGUUGGUUUCUGGAACUGGAGGUAAUGAUUGAGAGGGACUGCCGGGGGCAUUCGUACUACGGCGUGAGAGGUGAAAUUCAUGGAUCGCCGUAAGACGAGCGAGAGCGAAAGCAUUUGCCAAGAAUGUUUUCAUUAAUCAAGAACGAAA